rnacentral:lncRNA from 13 species
UAGGGAGUGGAGAAUUUCUUCUUCAUACAGCAGUGAUAGGCACAUUCUUCCACACUGGGCAGUAACAGCCCUCAUCCCACAGGAGUAUCAGGAGAGACUAUUUGUGGAGCCUAGACCUCCUUCAACAGAGGCGGAGCUCAGGUGGAAAUGCUGGCUCAUUUUCUGCUGUGCCUUCCAGUUUCCAACAGGCCAUAGUCCAAGAUCAGUCUGUGGCCCAGGGGUUGGUGACCCAAGGUUCUCAUAAUGCCGCCUGACAAAUGUGC